UACGGGGGGGGCAAGCGUUGUUCGGAAUUACUGGGCGUAAAGGGUUUGUAGGUGGCCGGCUAAGUCAGACGUGAAAUCCCUCAGCUUAACUGGGGAACUGCGUCUGAAACUGAUCGGCUCGAGUGCAGGAGAGGAACGCGGAAUUCCAGGUGUAGCGGUGAAAUGCGUAGAUAUCUGGAGGAAUACCGGUGGCGAAGGCGGCAUCCUGGACCAACACUGACGCUGAGGCGCGAAAGCUAGGGGAGCAAACGGG
rnacentral:rRNA from 1 species